rnacentral:lncRNA from 1 species
UCGAAGAAAAACUGAGAGGCUGUGACCUGACCUAGUUCCUGUGAAGGAUUCUGCCAAGUGACCCCCUCUGACUCUGAGCCUCUUGACGUGGAUUUUGCUCCCUGAGCGCCGCGACAAUCUGCGCCCGGUGUUGCUGUGACAGCUGGGGUGGCGAUUUCGCAGCUGCCAGCAGAGGGGUUCAGGUCAUCGUUACGCCUGACUCGGGCCCACAGGAGCGCCCAGAGGUCUUCCUGGAUCUGUGAAGCUCGGCUGAGACGUGGGAGGUGCCUCCUGCCAGAUCAGCCCCAGGAGAGAAGGGGACAGCUGGCCGUCUUUGCACCCGAGGUACCUGCUCCCUUUAUGGUUCCCCAGCCACCUGCCAUUGCCGACAGCGCCACUAGAGGGAGCCACCGCUGCUCCUGUUUCUCCCGCAGUAGGUGA